GAUGAACGCUGGCGGCGUGCCUAAUACAUGCAAGUCGAGCGAACGGACGAGAAGCUUGCUUCUCUGAUGUUAGCGGCGGACGGGUAAGUAACACGUGGAUAACCUACCUAUAAGACUGGGAUAACUUCGGGAAACCGGAGCUAAUACCGGAUAAUAUUUUGAACCGCAUGGUUCAAAAGUGAAAGACGGUCUUGCUGUCACUUAUAGAUGGAUCCGCGCUGCAUUAGCUAGUUGGUAAGGUAACGGCUUACCAAGGCAACGAUGCAUAGCCGACCUGAGAGGGUGGUCGGCCACACAGGAACUGAGACACGGUCCAGACUCCUACGGGAGGAAGCAGUAGGGAAUCUUCCGCAAUGGGCGAAAGCCUGACGGAGCAACGCCGCGUGAGUGAUGAAGGUCUUCGGAUCGUAAAACUCUGUUAUUAGGGAAGAACAUAUGUGUAAGUAACUGUGCACAUCUUGACGGUACCUAAUCAGAAAGCCACGGCUAACUACGUG
rnacentral:rRNA from 1 species